rnacentral:miRNA from 1 species
AAUGAAAGACACGGGUAGUGAGAU